rnacentral:rRNA from 1 species
CCUACGGGAGGCUGCAGUCGAGAAUCAUUCACAAUGGGGGAAACCCUGAUGGUGCGACGCAGCGUGAGGGAAUGAAGGUCUUCGGAUUGUAAACCCCUUUUAUGUGGGAGCAAAUUAAAAAGAUAAUACCACAAUAGAAAUACACUACGAACUCUGUUCCAGCAGCCGCGGGAAUACAGAGGUUGCAAUCGUUGUUCGGAGUUACUGGUCGUAAAGGGUUCGUAGGCGGGUUCGUAAGUCGUGUGUGAAAGGCGGGGGCUCAACCGGCGGAUGGCACAUGAUACUGGGAGACUAGAGUAAAGUAGGGGGAACCGGAAUUCUCGGUGUAGCAGUGAAAUGCUUAGAUAUCGCGAGGAACACUGGUGGCGAAGGCGGGUCACUGGACAUUAACUGACGCUGAGGCACGAAGGCGAGGGGAGCGAAAGGGAUUAGAUACCCUUGUAGUC